GUUUUCUUGCUACGGCAAAACAUAUACUAAAAUUAGAACGGUACAGAGAGAUUAGUACACCCUCUGUGUAAGGAUGACACAUUCACAUUUUU
rnacentral:snRNA from 12 species